UGGGGAAUAUUGCACAAUGGGCGCAAGCCUGAUGCAGCAAUGCCGCGUGAGUGAAGACGGCCUUAGGGUUGUAAAACUCUUUCGCUAGGGAAGAUAAUGACGGUACCUAGUAAAGAAGUCCCGGCUAACUCCGUGCCAGCAGCCGCGGUAAUACGGAGGGGGUUAGCGUUGUUCGGAAUUACUGGGCGUAAAGCGCACGUAGGCGGACCAGAAAGUUGGGGGUGAAAUCCCGGGGGCUCAACCCCGGAACUGCCUCCAAAACUAUUGGUCUAGAGUUCGAGAGAGGUGAGUGGAAUUCCAAGUGUAGAGGUGAAAUUCGUAGAUAUUUGGAGGAACACCAGUGGCGAAGGCGGCUCACUGGCUCGAUACUGACGCUGAGGUGCGAAAGUGUGGGGAGCAAACAGGAUUAGAUACCCUGGUAGUCCACGCCGUAAAACGAUGUCUGCUAGUCGUUGGGGGCGUAGCCCUUCAGUGACGCCGCUAACGCAUUAAGCAGACCGCCUGGGGAGUACGGCCGC
rnacentral:rRNA from 1 species